rnacentral:rRNA from 1 species
GACAGAGGGUGCAAACGUUGCUCGGAAUUACUGGGCGUAAAGCGCGUGUAGGUGGAUUGGUGUGUCAGAUGUGAAAGCCCUGGGCUCGACCCAGGAAUUGCACCUGAAACUACCAGUCUUGAGUGGUGGAGAGGGAAGUGGAAUUCCUGGUGUAGAGGUGAAAUUCGUAGAUAUCAGGAGGAACACCAGUGGCGAAGGCGGCUUCCUGGACACCAACUGACGCUGAGACGCGAAAGCGUGGGGAGCAAACAGG